UGUCAACACAAAGAAGACGAAUGAUGGAUCUCCUCUCUUCUCGCUCCCCCAUGGGAUGACGAUUGAAAGCCUCAAGCUGAAAUGCUCUAGUUGUCCUUUGCCUCCGAAAGGGAUUGAAGAAGAAACACAGUCGGGGGAGAAGAGACGGACAGAUAGAAGGGAGGGAAGAAGACCCAGUGUGAAAAAUUUGUGCUGACAGUGGGAGAGCCGGAACAGAACGUGACAAGAUCAACUUUUAUGAGGGCCUGCGAGGUAGGAGGUCCAUCUGGCACGGUGGGACACCUUUGUCAUUGAAGAGGGGACACAGCAUGGACAAGCUGAAGGAGCAUGGCGACAGAUGCCAAAUAAGAAAAAAAACAACAACAAAGAACAACAAAACAAAAG